GACGAACGCUGGCGGCGUGCUUAAUACAUGCAAGUCGAACGGAAAGGUCCGGCUUUUGUGGGGUGCUCGAGUGGCGAGGGGGUGAGUAACACGCGAGUAACCCGCCCUUGACUGUGGGAGAACUUUAGGAAACUGGGGCUAAAAUCGGAGAGGAGCUCCUGCUGCAUGGGGGUGGUUGGAAAGAGUCGGCGGUGGGGGAUGGACUCGCGGCUUAUCAGCUGGUUGGUGGAGUAGUGGCUGACCAAGGCUUUGACGGGUAGCCGGCCUGAGAGGGUGACCGGCCACCUUGGGCCUGCGAUACGGACCAGACUCCUACGGGCGGCAGCAGUCGGGAAUAUUGCGCAGUGGGCGGACGCCUGAUGCAACAGCCCCGCGUGCGGGAUGCCGGCCUUCGGGUUGUGAACCGCUUUCGCCUGUGCCGAGGCGUGCGUGACGGUAAUGGGUCAGGAAGCACCGGCUAACUACGUG
rnacentral:rRNA from 1 species